UUGGCCAUUUUAGUUGAAGCAGUUUGUACCUUACGCUGAGUGUCGCUGCUCUUCUCUGUUGCUCCGUCUCACUCUGCUGUCAGUCACUCGGUGUCCUUCGUCUUAUGUGACUCACAGCAGACAGACAAAGAAGGGCGGGACUCUGGAGUCGUGUCUGUUGUUCAGGAGGUUUAGCUACAGGAAUUUGAACACA